rnacentral:rRNA from 1 species
UACGUAGGGGGCAAGCGUUGUCCGGAAUCAUUGGGCGUAAAGCGCGUGUAGGCGGCCAGGUAAGUCCGUUCUGAAAGCCCGGGGCUCAACCCCGGGAGGCGGAUGGAUACUGCUUGGCUCGAGUCCGGAAGAGGCGAGUGGAAUUCCCGGUGUAGCGGUGAAAUGCGCAGAUAUCGGGAGGAACACCAAUGGCGAAGGCAGCUCGCUGGGACGGUACUGACGCUGAGACGCGAAAGCGUGGGGAGCAAACAGGAUAGAUAC